UCUGACCCGAAACGAAACCCAGAAACCGGCAACAGGGUCUGACCGGCGCUACUUCGUCCGGCCACCGAUCGACGACGGACGACCACCAUCUUCUUCGCCUCUUCGUCGCCUAUAGCCUGAUGCUCUUGGAUCGUCCAUGCACCUGACAAGGACGAAGAGCCGACGGUGAAGGUCCAAGCUUUCGCCGGCGAUUUCUGCAAGUUUCCGGCCACCAUUCAAGGCGCAUUCGGUAUGGAAAUUCAUCCCUUCGUCAUAAUAUACACGAUUUGAUACUUAGUUUUCGGAUUGGAGUGAGUUCUGAUGAAUUGGGUUUCUGGAUUCCUCUCGGUUCCGGUUCUGCUCUUCGACGCAGGCGACUUCUCUGGCCUCUCUUGUUUCGCUCUUCAUCUCGUCUCCACAUGUUGAUGCUUGUCGUUCUAAACUGAAGCUAAAUUCCAAAGAACUGCUAGCUGGUGUUGGAUUCCCAGUUCGUCAUCAUCCCUGUUCAAUCGAGCUUGCUCGAAGUAGCUUUUCAAGGACUCCAGUUACCCGAGGAACAGAAGGUUCGUCACUCUCGGAGUACGUGAGAGAACGCAUCGGAAUCCAGUAUGGAUGCAGGUACUGUGCACUGGUGACGGGACAAUAGCGGAUCGAGCUGGGUGUGCAGAACAAGUUCGGUAAAUUACCGUGUGAACCUUAUUCUAAAUUCUAUUUCUCGAACUUUGUGUUCUGGAA